rnacentral:rRNA from 1 species
AACGAACGCUGGCGGCAUGCCUAACACAUGCAAGUCGAACGAGAUCUUCGGGUUUAGUGGCGCACGGGUGCGUAACGCGUGGGAAUCUGCCCUUUGGUUCGGAAUAACAGUUGGAAACGACUGCUAAUACCGGAUGAUGACGAAAGUCCAAAGAUUUAUCGCCAGAGGAUGAGCCCGCGUAGGAUUAGCUAGUUGGUGUAGUAAAGGCGCACCAAGGCGACGAUCCUUAGCUGGUCUGAGAGGAUGAUCAGCCACACUGGGACUGAGACACGGCCCAGACUCCUACGGGAGGCAGCAGUGGGGAAUAUUGGACAAUGGGCGAAAGCCUGAUCCAGCAAUGCCGCGUGAGUGAUGAAGGCCUUAGGGUUGUAAAGCUCUUUUACCCGGGAUGAUAAUGACAGUACCGGGAGAAUAAGCUCCGGCUAACUCCGUGCCAGCCGCCGCGGUAA